rfam:Trametes pubescens strain FBCC735 TRAPTBscaffold_712, whole genome shotgun sequence.
GGCCGACUAGCUCAGUUGGUUAGAGCGUGGUGCUAAUAACGCCAAGGUCGUCGGUUCGAUCCCGGCGUUGGCCA